GUGGAAUAAAUCAUAUUGGUCAGCAGAAUGACAUGAGGUUUCCCCAAGGUUCAAGUAGAAAUGUAGGACCAUAUUCUGGAGGUCACGGUCAGAGAGGAGUCAACAGCUUUGAUGAGCCCAAAAGGCAUUAUUUUCUUGAAGAACUGAAAUCAAGCAGUGCCCGAAAAUUUGAACUCUCUGAGAUAGGGGGACAUAUAGUUGAAUUCAGUGUUGAUCAACACGGCAGUCGAUUUAUUCAGCAGAAACUGGAACAUUGUAGUUUUGAGGAAAAGGUGUCAGUAUUUAAAGAAGUACUUCCUCAUGCUUCAAAGUUAAUGACAGAUGUUUUUGGAAAUUAUGUUAUUCAGAAGUUUUUUGAGCAUGGAAGUCCUGAACAGCGAAAGGAGCUUGCAGAUAAACUCUCUGGACAGAUGCUGCAGUUGAGUUUGCAGAUGUAUGGUUGCCGUGUGAUACAGAAAGCCCUCGAAGUGAUUGAGCUUGAUCAGAAAACACAGCUUGUUCAAGAGCUUGAUGGGCAUGUUAUGAGAUGCGUACAUGAUCAAAAUGGAAAUCAUGUAAUACAGAAGUGCAUAGAAUGUGUGCCUGCAAAGAACAUUGAAUUUAUUAUCUCUGCUUUUCGAGGCCAAGUUGCUGCACUUGCUACUCAUCCCUAUGGUUGUCGUGUCAUUCAGAGAGUUUUGGAGCAUUGUUGCUCAGAUGACCUGCAAAGUCAAUGCAUAGUGGAUGAAAUCUUAGAUUCUGCUUACCUUCUUGCUCAAGACCAAUAUGGCAACUAUGUCACCCAGCAUGUUUUGGAGAGGGGAAAGCCCUGUGAAAGGAGCCAGAUUAUCAGCAAGGUGACAGGGAAAAUUUUGCAAAUGAGUCAGCAUAAGUAUGCGUCAAAUGUCAUUGAAAAGUGUUUAGAGCAUGGCAAUUCAGCUGAGCGGGAGCUCUUGAUUGAGGAGAUCAUUGGGCAAUCUGAGGAAAAUGACCACUUGUUGAUAAUGAUGAAGGACCAAUUUGCAAAUUAUGUGGUCCAAAAGAUCCUUGAAAUUAGUAAUGAUAAACAGCGGGAAAUAUUGCUCAACCGCGUAAGAGUUCAUCUUCAUGCUUUGAAGAAAUACACAUAUGGGAAGCACAUAGUUGCUCGAUUUGAGCAACUUUGUGGUGAAGAAAGCCAAGGGUUGGAAACUUAAAUUGUUGGAAAGUGACAUGAGAAUCCUGCUUUUGGCAGGCAGAGAAACUUAAUGAGAAGAGAUCACUUUCCAACAAUUUAAGGGAAGAAAAAGAAUGUUGAAUGGGGCAACUAGUCUUAGCAAAAGUACGCCAUUAGGGCAUGAUUUGCUGCUAGCUAGUUGCUAUUUGACGCUGCAAAUUGCAAAUUUAUCGUAGUGUAUACGUGUAUUAUAUGUCUUCUACUGUAUUUUAUGUGUGUAUGUAUAGAAAUAACUAAUGGUGAUUGGUCGAAGGUAAUAUGAUUGCUUUGGGAAAUUUGAUUACAAAGGUUUUAAAUUUUUAGGUUUAUUGGAUUCUUAUCGUUUGGAGGAGCCAAGUCUACUACUCCAUCAAAUGAAACUGUACAUCAUAAACAACAGCUACUGAAGUUUUCUUUUAAUAAAGUAUUACUGGAGUGGUAUUAAAGUCU
rnacentral:misc_RNA from 1 species